rnacentral:rRNA from 1 species
GCGCUCAAGGAUGGGCUCAUGUCCUAUCAGCUUGUUGGUAGGGUAAUGGCCUACCAAGGCAUCGACGGGUAGCUGGUCUGAGAGGACGAUCAGCCACACUGGCACUGCGACACGGGCCAG